CCUACGGGAGGCAGCAGUGGGGGAUAUUGCACAAUGGGGGAAACCCUGAUGCAGCGACGCCGCGUGGGUGAAGAAGUAUUUCGGUAUGUAAAGCCCUAUCAGCAGGGAAGAAAGAAGACGGUACCUGACUAAGAAGCCCCGGCUAACUACGUGCCAGCAGCCGCGGUAAUACGUAGGGGGCGAGCGUUAUCCGGAUUCACUGGGUGUAAAGGGAGCGUAGACGGCCGUGCAAGCCAGGAGUGAAAGCCCGGGGCCCAACCCCGGGACUGCUCUUUGAACUGUGCGGCUGGAGUGCGGGAGGGGCAGGCGGAAUUCCUGGUGUAGCGGUGAAAUGCGUAGAUAUCAGGAGGAACACCGGCGGCGAAGGCGGCCUGCUGGACCGCGACUGACGUUGAGGCUCGAAAGCGUGGGGAGCGAACAGGAUUAGAUACCCUAGUAGUC
rnacentral:rRNA from 1 species